rnacentral:rRNA from 1 species
UACAGAGGCCUCGAGCGUUAGGCGGAAUCACUGGGCUUAAAGCGUGUGUAGGCGGAUCGGUAAGUACCUUGUGAAAUCCCACGGCUUAACUGUGGAACUGCUUGGUAUACUGCCGGUCUUGAGCCAGCUAGGGGCUACCGGAACAAAUGGUGGAGCGGUGAAAUGCGUAGAUAUCGCUUGGAACGCCAAAGGUGAAGACAGGUGACUGGGGGGUGUGCCGACGCUGA